GCUGAAUGUGGUCAGGUGACACACUUAGCCAAUCACAGCUGCCCACUGCUUCAGUCUAAGGGGUUUAUUACCCAAAGCAUCACAGAGAAGAAUGGGCUUCUGUGAACUCUAAUUUUGCAUUAAAACAUUAAAAAUGGUUUAACGGUGAAUAAAAGAAUGGUGCCAGGGGACUUCAGACACUAUAACCACUACAAUGAGAUGAAGCAGUUAUGGUACCUACAGUGUUCUUUUUUUUAAUUUAUUUUUCAUAUUCUUUAGUUUUGGUGUGCAGUGUAAAAUACAAGCGUUGGCAUUGACCCUUUGCUUAAAAUUAAAGAUAACAAGAUGUACUUACAUUGAGUCAAGAUAUUCUGAAAGGAGAUAAGAAAGUAACAAGAUAUAAAAAAAACAAUAAGAGUUAUGACAGGCUUAUUACUCCUGGAAGGAGCCCCCACUCCAAGUCUAAUGGAUACAGCGACUAAAGAGAAAGGGCUGACUAUAUUGGACAUCAAAGAAUUGCACCCAGCAAUACACUCUUGUAGGCAUUCAGCUGUAGUGAGUAACCGUUCAGUCCCAGAGCCUGUCUUAGCCUAUGCCUGCUAGGGGCACAACACAGUCCUAGAGUGAAGAGGCACACUGCAUGUCACCUUGCCAAGGUGCAAUCUGGUAGGUUGGGUCUCGUAUCUUGUGUGUGUGUUUCUGCUCAGCCCUUCAGGUUCUGUUUGCGAUCCUGCAUGUGAUUGCUUGGGUGGUUGCUUCGGCGCCACCUUGAGGCUAUACACUGUACAUCGCUUAAUCCGCCGCCAUGAUUGGAUUUGUACAGCUGGAGAUGCCAAUGGCUUGGGAAGAGACUGUUGAGGUAAGACCAGGUCAGAAGAAGCCCAGGAGGCGGGCGAAACUCGUCACGUGUGACAUCAGAG